UACGUAGGUGGCAAGCGUUAUCCGGAUUUAUUGGGUUUAAAGGGUGCGUAGGCGGGCAUUUAAGCCGGCGGUCAAAUGUCGGGGCUCAACCCCGGCCUGCCGUCGGAACUGGGUGCCUUGAGUGGGCGAGAAGUAUGCGGAAUGCGUGGUGUAGCGGUGAAAUGCAUAGAUAUCGCGCAGAACUCCGAUUGCGAAGGCAGCAUACCGGCGGCGAUCUGACGCUGAGGCACGAAAGCGCGGGGAUCGAACAGG
rnacentral:rRNA from 1 species